rnacentral:tRNA from 1 species
GGGGUUGUGGCUCAGUGGUAGACAGCUCACCUCACAAGUGCGAGGCCCUGGGUUUGAUACUCAGCACCACA